UACGUAGGGCGCAAGCGUUGUCCGGAAUUAUUGGGCGUAAAGAGCUCGUAGGCGGCCUGUUGCGUCCGCUGUGAAAUCCCGGGGCUCAACCCCCGGGCCUGCAGUGGAUACGGGCUGGCUAGAGGCAGGCAGGGGAGAACGGAAUUCCUGGUGUAGCGGUGAAAUGCGCAGAUAUCAGGAGGAACACCGGUGGCGAAGGCGGUUCUCUGGGCCUUACCUGACGCUGAGGAGCGAAAGCGUGGGGAGCGAACAGG
rnacentral:rRNA from 1 species